GUCAGGGUGGCAUAGAGGUUUGAGCAUUAGAUUACGACUCUGGAGAUCAGGAUUCGAUUCCCUGAUAAGCCA